AAUACAACUUUCAGCAACGGAUCUCUUGGCUCUCGCAUCGAUGAAGAACGCAGCGAAAUGCGAUAAGUAAUGUGAAUUGCAGAAUUCAGUGAAUCAUCGAAUCUUUGAACGCACCUUGCGCUCCUUGGUAUUCCGAGGAGCAUGCCUGUUUGAGUGUCAUGG
rnacentral:rRNA from 1 species